rnacentral:rRNA from 1 species
UACGUAGGGCGCAAGCGUUGUCCGGAAUUAUUGGGCGUAAAGAGCUCGUAGGCGGUUUGUCGCGUCUGCCGUGAAAGCCCGGGGCUUAACUCCGGGUCUGCGGUGGAUACGGGCAGACUAGAGGCAGGUAGGGGAGAACGGAAUUCCCGGUGUAGCGGUGAAAUGCGCAGAUAUCGGGAAGAACACCCGUGGCGAAGGCGGCUCUCUGGGACGGUACUGACGCUGAGACGCGAAAGCGUGGGGAGCGAACAGG